rnacentral:rRNA from 1 species
UACGUAGGGUGCAAGCGUUAUCCGGAAUUAUUGGGCGUAAAGAGCUCGUAGGCGGUUUGUCACGUCUGCUGUGAAAACUGGAGGCUCAACCUCCAGCCUGCAGUGGGUACGGGCAGACUAGAGUGCGGUAGGGGAGAUUGGAAUUCCUGGUGUAGCGGUGGAAUGCGCAGAUAUCAGGAGGAACACCGGUGGCGAAGGCAGAUCUCUGGGCCGUAACUGACGCUGAGGAGCGAAAGCAUGGGGAGCGAACAGG